ensembl:lncRNA
GGGGCCGUGGGGGCGCCGCCGUCACAGUGCCAAUGGUGCUGCAUUCCUGCCGGGGGUGCCAUAUUCGUGCCAGGGAUGCCUUCAUGUCUGUGCCAGGGAUGUCAUACUCAUGCCAUGGAUGCCAUAUUCAUGCCAGGGAUGCCAUAUUCAUGCCAGGGAUGCCAUAUUUAUGCCGGGGAUGCCUUCAUGUCUGUGCCAUGGAUGCCAUAUUCAUGCCAGGGAUGCUGUAUUCGUGCCAGGGGUGCCAUCAUGUCUGUGCCAGGAGUGCCAUAUUUGUGCCAAGAAUGCCGUAUUCAUGCCAGGGAUGCCAUAUUUAUGCUGGGGAUGCCAUAUUCAUGCCAAGGUUGGCAUAUUUAUGCUGGGGAUGCCAUCAUGUCUGUGCCAGGGAUGCCAUACUCAUGCCAUGGAUGCCAUAUUCAUGCCAGAGAUGCCAUAUUUAUGCCGGGGAUGCCUUCAUGUCUGUGCCAUGGAUGCCAUAUUCAUGCCAGGGUUGGCAUAUUCAUGCCAGGAGUGCCAUAUUCGUGCUGGGGAUGCCAUAUUUAUGCUGGGGAUGCCACCAUGUCUGUGCCAGGAGUGCCAUUUUUAUGCCAGGGAUGCCAUAUUCAUGCCAGGGAUGCCCUCAUAUCUGUGCCAGGGGUGCCAUAUUCAUGCCAGGAAUGCCAUAUUCAUGCCAGAGAUGCCAUAUUCAUGCUGGGGAUGCCUUCAUGUCUGUGCCAGGGAUGCCAUACUCAUGCUGGGAAUGCCAUAUUCAUGCCAGGGUUGGCAUAUUUAUGCUGGGGAUGCCAUCGUGUCUGUGCCAGGAGUGCCAUAUUUGUGCCAUGGAUGCCAUAUUCAUGCUAGGAGUGCCAUAUUCAUGCCAGGGUUGCCAUAUUUAUGCUGGGGAUGCCAUCAUGUCUGUGCCGGGGGUGCCAUAUUCGUGCCAUGGAUGCCAUAUUCAUGCCAGGGAUGCCGUAUUCGUGCCAGGGGUGCCCUCAUGUCUGUGCCAGGAGUGCCAUUUUCAUGCCGGGGAUGCCAUAUUUAUGCUGGGGGUGCCAUCAUGUCUGUGCCAGGGAUGCCAUACUCAUGCCAGAGAUGCCAUAUUCAUGCUGGGGAUGCCUUCAUGUCUGUGCCAUGGAUGCCAUAUUCAUGCCAGGGUUGGCAUAUUUAUGCUGGGGAUGCCAUCAUGUCUGUGCCAGGAGUGCCAUAUUCAUGCCAGGGUUGCCAUAUUCAUGCCAGGGUUGCCAUAUUCAUGCCAGGAGUGCCAUAUUCGUGCCGGGGAUGCCAUAUUUAUGCUGGGGAUGCCACCAUGUCUGUGCCAGGAGUGCCAUAUUCGUGCCAGUGAUGCCCUCAUGUCUAUGCCAGGGGUGCCAUGUUUGCGCCAGGGAUGCCAUAUUCAUGCCAAGGUUGGCAUAUUUAUGCUGGGGAUGCCAUCGUGUCUGUGCCAGGGAUGCCAUAUUCAUGCUAGGAGUGCCAUAUUCAUGCCGGGGUUGGCAUAUUUAUGCCAGUGAUGCCCUCAUGUCUGUGCCAUGAGUGCCAUUUUAAUGCCAGAGAUGCCAUAUUUAUGCUGGGAAUGCCUUCAUGUCUGUGCCAGGAGUGCCAUAUUCAUGCCAUGGAUGCCAUAUUCAUGCCAGGGAUGCCAUAUUCAUGCCAGCGAUGCCAUCGUGUCUGUGCCAGGGAUGCCAUAUUCAUGCCAGGGUUGGCAUAUUUAUACUGGGGAUGCCAUCAUGUCUGUGCCAGGAGUGCCAUAUUCGUGCCAUGGAUGCCAUAUUCAUGCUAGGAAUGCCGUAUUCGUGCUGGGGAUGCCAUCAUGUCUGUGCCAGGGAUGCCAUAUUCAUUCCCAGAGAGCCAUAUUCAUGCCAGAGAUGCCAUCAUGUCUAUGCCGGGGAUGUCAGAUUCAUGCCAGGGUUGGCAUAUUUAUGCUGGGGAUGCCAUCAUGUCUGUGCCAGGAGUGCCAUGUUUGUGCCAGGGAUGCCAUUUUUAUGCUGGGGUGCCAUAUUCGUGCAAGGGAUGCCAUAUUCAUGCCAGAGAUGCCAUCGUGUUUGUGCCAGGGAUGCCAUAUUCAUGCCAGGGUUGGCAUAAUUAUGCCGGGGAUGCCAUCAUGUCUGUGCCAGGAGUGCCAUUUUUAUGCCAAGAAUGCCAUAUUCAUGCUGGGGAUGCCUUCAUGUCUGUGCCAGGAGUGCCAUAUUCAUGCCAUGGAUGCCAUAUUCAUUCCUGGAAUGCCAUAUUCACCCCAGGGAUGCCAUAUUUAUGCCAGGAGUGCCAUAUUCACCCCAGGGAUGCCAUAUUCACCCCAGGGAUGCCAUAUUUAUGCCAGGAGUGCCAUAUUCACCCCAGGGAUGCCAUACUCAUGCAAGGGAUGCCAUAUUCACCCCAGGGAUGCCAUAUUCACCCCGGGGAUGCCAUAUUCACACCCGGGAUGCCACCACGUCAUUGCCGGGGACGCCCUAUGUGUGCCGGUGCCGUCCCCACGCCGCCACCAAAGCCACGGUGUGGAUAUCAGAACGCCAUAUCCGUACCGCGGCCAAACGGGCAGCGCUGUGACUCCACCAUCACCAAAGCAGAACUGCCCACGGCUCCACCGGGAGCCACACCGGGAAUGCCCACGAAUACACCGAGGGUGGCGCGGCUCUACCGGGGACACCGCGACCCCCCCUACCCACACCACCCACCCCCCCCCGGGAUCACCGUGACCCCCUGGCGCCUCCGUGCUCCCCCCCCCCCCCAACCUCCCUCUCCCCCGCAG